UCGAAUCUAAGGGCUGAAAAUCAUUUAUAUUUUAUACACUUAAGAGUGUUUUUAUUCUAGUCAUCCCCAUUGCGGGCCUGGACUAUCAUACAAAAAGCCUAUCAAACAGAUGAAAAUGGUGAGAAAUAUAACGUAACUCACCUAAUAUAAGAUAUGCAGACUGUAUGACAACCUUAGUUUUGACCUAACCCGCCGAUACCACCGUUUUUCUCUCUCUUCUAAACAUCGCAAUGGCAAUUGUAGCAGAUCACGAACCUGGAUUCAUCGAUCGAUACAUUGAGAAGUGGAAGCAAAAGGUAAUCGCUUAAAUUUCAUCAUUAAUUUCAACUUUUUAGAUUCCCUGGGUAUGCUUCCCGAUUAAUUAUAAGGAUUAAAACAAUUAUUUUCACCCAAAUUGAAUUGAUCAAUCUAUGUGGGUAAUUCCUAGAGUUUUUUCAUAAUUAAUCUCUAUUUUAUUAAGAUAGCUUCUCAUGCUUGAUGUUUAUUGGAAAAUUUUGUAAUACGAUGAUUGUACAUGUUGGUAUCAAAUGCAAAUCCAUACAAUAAUACCAAUGCAGCGGAAACAAUUUAUAACGCACAUACAACCGAGAAACGUCCCCAAUCUUAGCAAACAAGAAAAUCUCCACAAGUAAUCAAGAUAAUAUGCAAGACGAUAAAUGAGACAAGAGAUUUACGUGGUUCGGCAAAUGCCUACGUCCACGGGAGCAACACCAAUCGUAAUAUUGAAGAACUCCGACGAUUCGCACAACCCGCGAACUCGUCACACAAUGAAUCGAGAAUUACACCCAAGAUGAGAUCAACCUCUCACUCUCGUACACUCUCAAACCCACGCUGGAAAAACCCUCUUCAAAUACCUCACGAUCUCUCGUGUAUAUCACACCCCAAGCUCUCUGUUUUUCUCUCACAGCUCUCUCUGC
rnacentral:lncRNA from 1 species